CUGCUAAGGAUGUGGCUGUUUCUCCCUGUCUGGUGGGGAGAGGCCAAGCACAUUAAUGCCAAUGCCCACAGCCUGUGGGUGCUUCCUGUCUUUUGUAAAUUGCAUUACUCACGAUUCUCUUUCCCUCGAUUUAUUAGAGGAAAGUCUCAGAAGGGUAAGGCCAACUGCUCCAGCUAUUUGCAGCUGUAAAUGACCCUCACAGGGACACAGCACUGUCCCACUCCCAGCCCAGUGGCCUGCAGCUAGCUGGAGCUGGUUACACUCUCACCUGGCUAGGUUGGGGGAAAGUGGGAGUUUUGCAGACCCACACUGCCACCCUGUCCAGCAGCCCCGGUCAUCUUUAAGAAACGCACCUCUUCUCUGAAACUCAAACAAUAAAACUUUCUGAAGACCUUUCAGCUUGCUUUGGCGACAAUGAACUCUCUUCUCUCCUGCAGGCGUGCCGGUAGCUUGGCCAGGGAGAAUGGACCGGCAACCUCUUUCUGCCCACUCCUCUGAUCCCCCUCUGCCUCCCUUAGACAAUCUGUCCUUCCCUGGAGAGGGCCGGUGUGCAGGGUUAAAGGUUCUCUGGUUAAAAUAGCCCAACAGAAGGAGCCGGGUCCGGAGCUGAAAUCUAAGUGCUAAUGACCGCUGCCCUUCACCCCGCUGCUCUCCGAGGCUGGACCCGAGGCCCAGUGAGGGACGAGACUGGACGGGGCACAAUGUUGCGCAUUUAACAUUUGAACUUCUCCCACCCGAGGCAGCAGGCCGUUUUGUCCUGGGGUCGCUGACCCCGGCUCCCCAUCAGCUGCCCUGAAACCUUAAUUGAAUGACAGAUGGUCAUUUUCAGGAGAGCCAGAAGCUGCGGGCGGCGGGCGGCAUGGCCAGGCUCGGCCAGGCGGUCCCCACUGGAGUGGGGUCGGGGCACGGGGUCGGGGCUGCGCGCUCCCGGGGGAGCGGAGUCCUGGUCCCCUAGCUGCCUCGGGGUCCAGAGCUCCAGGCAGCCUGGAGGUGGCCCCGCCUGCCCUAGAAGGAGGCGCAGGGGCCCCCAUCGCUCCUUUUCUGGGCCGGAGUCCAGCCUCCCCGGCCCUAGGCCCGGAUGCCAGCCCCGGGGCCCGGUGCGCUUGGCACGCCCGGCCUGCGGCCGCUGCUGCGCGGGGCCUGCGGCCCAGAGGUGGGCGCCCAGAGGCCCAGCCGCACUGCCUCCGCGCCGGCUCCUAUUUCUUUAAAAUCAAAGCUUCGGGCCUACAAUUGCUGGGAUUGCAGCGCGGUAUUGAUCCGCAGCCGGCAUCAGGGCCCGCGGCCUCGCUGCCCAGCCCCCGCGGCCGGCCUGCGAAGCCCAGAGGCUGGGUUUCGGCACCGUGCACGCCGCCGCUGGUACCCGGCCACCCCUCCGGCCAGCGCGCGUGGGCUCCAGGCCCAGCCGACUAGGCCCCAUCUUCACUGGUUUUUUUCCUUCCUUCUUUUUUAAUUAGUGCAGGAAAAUAUACAUGGAAGCAAAAAAAAAAAAUCCGCCUCCCCCGCAGGCGCGGCCUUCUAAUGCACAGGGCCUGACAUCGACUUCCGCGCACGGAUCGAACCUUCGAUCGCGCCGAUUUGCAUAGCGGGCCCGCGCCCCGCCGCGCCCGACUCCACGCCGAGACCGCGCAGGCGAGGCCGGGCGCUCCCGGGCUCUGCCUUCCUCCCUCGGUGCCCGGGGGACCGGGCUGCUCACGGCCGCAGACGUGUGCGCGGGCGAGCGCGGAACGCGGCGGGAGACGAUCUCCGCCGGCACCGCGAAAGGAGCCGAGGGCGCCCAGGGCCCCGCCGCGGACCGCGCGGAGGACAGGUACCACCUGCGCGGCGCCGCGGCCCGCUCCCCGCGGGCAGGGGUGGGCACCGCAGGGCGAGGACCCGGGCUGCGAACCGCGCUCCCGCUCCCGGCUCCUGCGCGAAACGGAGCACACUGACCCCGCUUCCCUCCCUCCUGGAGGCGCAUCCUGGACGCGACGCGCCCUCGGGGUAAGGGGCCUCCCGGGCUUGGGCGGCGGGGAGGGGCUCGCGGGGCUGAGGGUUCCGGGCUCGCGGGGCUGAGGGUUCCUCCCCCGCGCUACUCCCCGCUUCCGCCCCGCCCCGCGAGCCCCGACCGGUCCGUGAGCUCCGGGCCGCGCGGUGCGCGUGGGGCGUCCCGCUGGGCCUGGCGCGCGCCCGCGCCUCCGGCCCACCGAGCAGCCCGGGAUUGCCCCAGACGAGCUCGGCAGCGCUUCCCGUCCGGGACACGGCGUCUGAACCUGGCGCCUCUCCACAUCCAGCCCGACCCCAGGAAAGCCGAGCCCUCCCGGCCUGACCUUGCGCAACUGAAGGCCAACCCUGCGCGUCCCGCCGUCCCUCUGAACGGGGCGUUCCGGCGGCGGUGGCAGAAUUUCGGGUUUGCUUUGUUUCUCUAGUGAAGAGAACGCACUCUCCUACCCUCAAAGAGGCGUCCAGGCGUACUUCCCUGAGUGUUCGUGGCUGAUACUGGUUCCGAACCUGUCUGGCCCUGAGCCUUUUCGUUUCUCCUGUUUUAUGCAGAUCACUCGAGAUAAGUAAGAAAAUUAGGAAUUCGAUAGUUGGAAAGCAGACUGGGGAGGAAAAUUAAAUCCAACACCGACUGGAAAUAUGCUGGACAGAUGAAACGACAGUGACAGAAGACAGGAGAGUAAUUUACCUGAAAAAAAGAAAGAGAUUAGGCUCUGAAUUUUCCAGAUUGUAAUGACAAUACGAAAUAAAUCCAAAGAAAUUGCUUCCCUGACACUCUAUGUACAACCAAAGCAGAAGCCCUGCCACAGCAAAUUAUUGCUCAUUUGAUACCAAGAAUUCUAUUGACCACGGCUUUCGUUGGAGAGCGAAUUCUAACUACUGGCUGCUCUGUUGUCAGCUAGAGCUGAGGCUGGGAACCUUCCACAAGGCUGUGACGGCACACAGAGUCCUCUGCUCCAGGAAGUGCAGAGAUAACGCUGGUGUGUGUUGUCUGCCUGCACCCAAAGCGAUGGUGUUCCUGGAAUGCAAGCACCGCCCGCCAUGCUUGGAGCAUCCUGCCGCAGAGAGAACACUUUCUCCUGGUCUCAGCCCAGACUGACAGCCUGGGGGCCUCGUAGGACACUCGGCCAGAUGACACACACACAAGGGCACCCAGAACCUGUGUCGUGGGCUCCCGGGCAGCUGUGGAUCCAGGAGGCAGGCUGAGCAAGCCAGCAACACUCGCUGCCACUUGUCCAGAAAGCAAGAAAGCGGCAAUAUCCUCAGUGUUAUUUAAGGGAAAAAGACUGGGACCUGCACUGGAGUUUAAAAGUUAGGGGCGGGCUGCUCCCCAGCAUUUCUUUGGAAGGAGGCAGAACUGAGAGCUAUGCAGCUGGCUUGGCGCUUCAGCCCAUAGGAGAGGAGGAAAUUCUCCUCCUCCUCGCUGCACCUUGGAGCAGGUCCUCUGGCAGAGCUCUCGGCUCCCCAGCACCCCGUCAGCCUCCUGCCUCUCCUGCCAGGCCAAUGGAACCAGCAGAACUCGAUAGUAAAUUAUUUUGUUCAGCCCUCUGUCUUUUUAUGAAAAUAAAAGCCAACACUUUGUCAUUUUUAAUCACGUAAGCAGACAAUAAAUCCAAUUUCGAUAUUGAUUUUUUUUUCCAG
ensembl:lncRNA